GAGAUCCUCCUGGGUUACAUAGUGAGUCUGAGGCCAGCCUGGGAUACAAGACUCCUGGCACCAAAAGUAAACAAAAGUUUUCCUAACAGUUAGAAUAGACCAAUCUGAACAAGUAUGCUGAGAAAAAUCAACUUUCCAGUCUCUCAAAAGAAGGCAGUGGGUUCCUUAUGUCUGUUUUUCGUUUUGAUCUAGCUAUCAUAGGUAUUCAUUUUUCACAUAUAUCAACAUCUCUAUUACUACCUCAUUUGGAAAUUUUUUAACUAAAUACAUGUGUAUAUAUGUGUACACACUAAAUCUUCAUAUAUAUGUAUAUAUACACAAGUAAAUGUAUAUAUACAUAAAUAUGUGUAUAUAUGUACUAUAUGUGAGAAGAUUGUGUGUGUCCAUCUGAAGAAGUCAGGACAAUUUUUAGGAUUCAGCACUGUUCUUCGAACAUGGUUUCAGGGAUUGAACUCGGGUUGUCAUCAGACUUGGCAGCAAGUAUUUUAACACUGAGUCAUCUCACCAGUCCCCUUUGGAAAAGUUAAUGCUUUGUCACAUUGGACAUGACAUGUAACAUUUUCCUUCAAGGCUGAAACAUUCCAUCUUGCAGAGACUGCUCCUUAAGCAGAAAGGCAACAACUCAAAAUAGCUUCAGGAAGUUCUUGCAACUGACCAGACUCAUUAGGCCCCUCCCUCCCAGCAUAAGCUGUAAAGCUGCAAAGAAGACUCAGAUGAGACAAGUUGCACAAAGGCGGUGAGGCCAAACCAGCUACUUAGAAGAAGCAGAAACUAGCCUAUCUGCCUGGAAAAGGUUUAGAACAGAGUCACUUGGAAAGGACACUCUUUAACCUGUUGAGCUGCCUUCAGAUUUUGCAGUGUGCUCCAAGUUCCCAGCUUUUGUGAGCUGUUUACCCAUGUUGGUGUGGGUUUUGGUGAUGCAGCUGGCUGUGAAUUAUUUCUGCUCCUGUGCAGCUGAAGGCGCUCCAGAUUGUCCAGGCACAAGUGUGGAAACCCCUGGCAGCUGCCUACCGGCCCGGACACCCCAAAACUUCACACCCAUUCCAGGUUGGCAAUUCUGUGUAUGUCAGGAGACAUGGGUCCCAGAGUCUUGAAAUUCGCUGGAAGGGUCCCUACACUGUACUUAUGAUGCCUACUGCCCUCAAAGUGGACGGUAUUGCAGCCUGGAUCCACGCAUCUCACGUUAAGCCAGCACCUCCACAGGAUGACCCGGAAUCCUCCAAAUGGAAGCUUCAGCAUGCUCAAAAUCCUCUAAAACUAAGACUUCUCAGAUCUGCCUGACCCUGCCAGUCCUGCUGGCCUUUAUUCUGAUGCCCUUGCCCACCUAUAGUAACCCCCAUGCACUCCAGAAACUGACUUGGCAGGUUUCCUCACAAACCGGAAAGGUAAUUUGGAUCACCUCCAAAACAGCCCUUCCAGGUACUUGGCGGCCCACCCUCACCCCUCAUUUCUGUCAACUUGCAGUGGGGCUAGAUUCCUGGGAUAUCCCAGAUGCACAGCCCCAGCAGUUGCCCCUAAACGCUGGCACCUCUCCGAAAGGAGAUUCUGGAGGUUCGGUUGGGUGCGGGAGCCCAUGGACAAGAUGCUGCUUACUGGAGCUAGGUUUUAAUGUCUGCCCCGGAAAAGGCCGAAAUCAGGCCACCGUCCAACAUUGUGGGGGUUUAGAAAGUCUAUUCUGUGCAGCCUGGGAAUGUGAGACCACUGGAGCUGCUUAUUGGAAUCCCACCUCUUCUUGGGGCUGAAUUACAGUCCACAAGUAUUAUUCCUCUCCAAAACAGUGCUCCAGGAAGAGCGCAGGAACCUGUAGCACCAGCCCCACUUGCUUAUCCUUAAAAAUCACCUUUACUCCCUAGGGGCGAGCAAUAGGAACUUCAGGAUGGAUGCAGGGGAGGACUUGGGGCAUCCAAUGGUUUUUCCCAGAUAGAUGGGUUAGGAAAGACUUGGGUGCCGCUUUCACAAUAAAAUUAAAAAUAGAGACUCUCAGCCGGGUGGUGGUGGCACACGCCUUUAAUCCCAGCACUCGGGAGGCAGAGGCAGGCGAAUCUUCUGUGAGUUCAAGGCCAGCCUGGUCACUCCCCUAGGGCAACCCCCAUAGGGCCCAACCAGGUAUUAUCUGACCAAGGCCAGCUAGCCCGGGCUGAAAUGAGCUCCCCCCUGCAGGGACCGUGAGCAACAGACCAAGCCAUCAGGCCCCACCAUUUCACAGCUCCCUCCCUGGAAACUCUCUUGCUUCCCUGCCAGCAUUCCCUAAUAUGAGCCAGCGAUUGUUCAACUUAGUACUGGGCGCUUUCUCCUUGCUAAAUGGUACAGACCCAAACAUGACCCAAUCCUGCUGGCUAUGCCUAUCAGCAGGACCCCCUUAUUAUGAAGGAAUUGCAACAUCCGGGGAUUUUAACAACACAAUCAGCCAGGAUGCUUGUGCUUGGGGAACCAGUAAUAAGGUAACUCUUACAGAGGUUACAGGUGCAGGAAGAUGUCUGGGAAAUCCACUGGCUACCUACAAACAUUUAUGUAAUAUGAUUCUUAAGAGCCCUAAAACUCCUAACGCCGGGUACUUGGUUCCCAAUUCAGGAAGAUGGUGGGCUUGUAAUAUGGGCCCUACACCUUGUGUGGCAACUUCGGUUUUUGAUAACUCCAAGGAUUACUAUGUGUUCGUUCAACUAGUACCUAGGGUCUUUUAUCAUCCCACUGACACAUAUGAAGAUGAAUUUGACGAGCACUAUCUCCCUGACUCUAGCAGUAAUCUUAGGCCUUGGAGUUGCAGCCAGUGUCAGCACUGGUACUGCUGCUCUGGUGCAGGCUCCCCAAUAUUAUAAUGAAUUAAGGACAGCCGUGAAUGAAGACUUAAAAGCCCUAGAACUGUCCAUCUCUAAGCUUUAAGAGUCGAUGACCUUACUCUCUGAAGUGAUGUUACAGAAUAGGUGCGGAUUAGACUUGUUGUUUCUCCAAGAAGGAGGACUCUGUGCUGCCCUAAAAGAACAAUGUUGUUUUUACAUAGAUCACUCUGGAGUAAUCAGGGAUUCCAUGGCUAAGCUCAGAAAUAGGCUAGGUAAAUGACAGUGAAAUAGAGAGGCACAGCAAGGUUGGUAUGAAGGAUGGUUUAAUAGCUUCCCCUGGUUCACAACCCUCAUCUCCACUCACUGGUCCCUUAAUCAUUCUGCUGCUGCUUUUAAUCUUUGGACCCUGCAUCUUCAACCGACUCCUGAUGUUCAUUCGUUGAGCGUAAGCGGCUUAGCGUUACUCAAGCUUUAAUAUUAACCCAACAAUACCAGACCCUUAAGA